GGGUUGUGAGGUUAAGCGACUAAGCGUACACGGUGGAUGCCCUGGCAGUCAGAGGCGAUGAAGGACGUGCUAAUCUGCGAAAAGCGUCGGUAAGGUGAUAUGAACCGUUAUAACCGGCGAUGUCCGAAUGGGGAAACCCAGUGUGAUUCGUCACACUAUCGUUAACUGAAUACAUAGGUUAACGAGGCGAACCGGGGGAACUGAAACAUCUAAGUACCCCGAGGAAAAGAAAUCAACCGAGAUUCCCCCAGUAGCGGCGAGCGAACGGGGAGCAGCCCAGAGUCUGAAUCAGCUUGUGUGUUAGUGGAACGGUCUGGAAAGUCCGACGGUACAGGGUGAUAGUCCCGUACACCAAAAUGCACAGGCUGUGAACUCGAAGAGUAGGGCGGGACACGUGGUAUCCUGUCUGAAUAUGGGGGGACCAUCCUCCAAGGCUAAAUACUCCUGACUGACCGAUAGUGAACCAGUACCGUGAGGGAAAGGCGAAAAGAACCCCGGCGAGGGGAGUGAAAAAGAACCUGAAACCGUGUACGUACAAGCAGUGGGAGCACCUUCGGGUGUGACUGCGUACCUUUUGUAUAAUGGGUCAGCGACUUAUAUUCUGUAGCAAGGUUAACCGUAUAGGGGAGCCGCAGGGAAACCGAGUCUUAACUGGGCGUUAAGUUGCAGGGUAUAGACCCGAAACCCGGUGAUCUAGCCAUGGGCAGGUUGAAGGUUGGGUAACACUAACUGGAGGACCGAACCGACUAAUGUUGAAAAAUUAGCGGAUGACUUGUGGCUGGGGGUGAAAGGCCAAUCAAACCGGGAGAUAGCUGGUUCUCCCCGAAAGCUAUUUAGGUAGCGCCUCGUGAACUCAUCUUCGGGGGUAGAGCACUGUUUCGGCUAGGGGGUCAUCCCGACUUACCAACCCGAUGCAAACUACGAAUACCGAAGAAUGUUAUCACGGGAGACACACGGCGGGUGCUAACGUCCGUCGUGAAGAGGGAAACAACCCAGACCGCCAGCUAAGGUCCCAAAGUCAUGGUUAAGUGGGAAACGAUGUGGGAAGGCACAGACAGCCAGGAUGUUGGCUUAGAAGCAGCCAUCAUUUAAAGAAAGCGUAAUAGCUCACUGGUCGAGUCGGCCUGCGCGGAAGAUGUAACGGGGCUAAACCAUGCACCGAAGCUGCGGCAGCGACACUAUGUGUUGUUGGGUAGGGGAGCGUUCUGUAAGCCUGCGAAGGUGUGCUGUGAGGCAUGCUGGAGGUAUCAGAAGUGCGAAUGCUGACAUAAGUAACGAUAAAGCGGGUGAAAAGCCCGCUCGCCGGAAGACCAAGGGUUCCUGUCCAACGUUAAUCGGGGCAGGGUGAGUCGACCCCUAAGGCGAGGCCGAAAGGCGUAGUCGAUGGGAAACAGGUUAAUAUUCCUGUACUUGGUGUUACUGCGAAGGGGGGACGGAGAAGGCUAUGUUAGCCGGGCGACGGUUGUCCCGGUUUAAGCAUGUAGGCUGGUUAUCCAGGCAAAUCCGGAUAAUCAAGGCUGAGGUGUGAUGACGAGGCACUACGGUGCUGAAGUAACAAAUGCCCUGCUUCCAGGAAAAGCCUCUAAGCAUCAGGUAACAUCAAAUCGUACCCCAAACCGACACAGGUGGUCAGGUAGAGAAUACCAAGGCGCUUGAGAGAACUCGGGUGAAGGAACUAGGCAAAAUGGUGCCGUAACUUCGGGAGAAGGCACGCUGGUGUGUAGGUGAAGUCCCUGCGGAUGGAGCUGAGACCAGUCGAAGAUACCAGCUGGCUGCAACUGUUUAUUAAAAACACAGCACUGUGCAAACACGAAAGUGGACGUAUACGGUGUGACGCCUGCCCGGUGCCGGAAGGUUAAUUGAUGGGGUUAUCCGUAAGGAGAAGCUCUUGAUCGAAGCCCCGGUAAACGGCGGCCGUAACUAUAACGGUCCUAAGGUAGCGAAAUUCCUUGUCGGGUAAGUUCCGACCUGCACGAAUGGCGUAAUGAUGGCCAGGCUGUCUCCACCCGAGACUCAGUGAAAUUGAACUCGCUGUGAAGAUGCAGUGUACCCGCGGCAAGACGGAAAGACCCCGUGAACCUUUACUAUAGCUUGACACUGAACAUUGAGCCUUGAUGUGUAGGAUAGGUGGGAGGCUUUGAAGCGUGGACGCCAGUCUGCGUGGAGCCAACCUUGAAAUACCACCCUUUAAUGUUUGAUGUUCUAACGUUGGCCCCUUACCGGGGUUGCGGACAGUGUCUGGUGGGUAGUUUGACUGGGGCGGUCUCCUCCCAAAGCGUAACGGAGGAGCACGAAGGUUAGCUAAUCCUGGUCGGACAUCAGGAGGUUAGUGCAAUGGCAUAAGCUAGCUUGACUGCGAGCGUGACGGCGCGAGCAGGUGCGAAAGCAGGUCAUAGUGAUCCGGUGGUUCUGAAUGGAAGGGCCAUCGCUCAACGGAUAAAAGGUACUCCGGGGAUAACAGGCUGAUACCGCCCAAGAGUUCAUAUCGACGGCGGUGUUUGGCACCUCGAUGUCGGCUCAUCACAUCCUGGGGCUGAAGUAGGUCCCAAGGGUAUGGCUGUUCGCCAUUUAAAGUGGUACGCGAGCUGGGUUUAGAACGUCGUGAGACAGUUCGGUCCCUAUCUGCCGUGGGCGCUGGAGAAUUGAGGGGGGCUGCUCCUAGUACGAGAGGACCGGAGUGGACGCAUCACUGGUGUUCGGGUUGUCAUGCCAAUGGCACUGCCCGGUAGCUAAAUGCGGAAGAGAUAAGUGCUGAAAGCAUCUAAGCACGAAACUUGCCCCGAGAUGAGUUCUCCCUGAGACUUUAAGUCUCCUGAAGGAACGUUGAAGACGACGACGUUGAUAGGCCGGGUGUGUAAGCGCAGCGAUGCGUUGAGCUAACCGGUACUAAUGAACCGUGAGGCUUAACCUUACAACGCCGAAG
rnacentral:rRNA from 2 species